rnacentral:rRNA from 1 species
AAAACACAGGUCCGUGCGAAGUCGCAAGACGAUGUAUACGGACUGACUCCUGCCCGGUGCUGGAAGGUUAAGAGGACCGGUUAGCCUCACGGCGAAGCUGAGAAUUCAAGCCCCAGUAAACGGCGGUGGUAACUAUAACCAUCCUAAGGUAGCGAAAUUCCUUGUCGGGUAAGUUCCGACCUGCACGAAUGGAGUAACGACUUCCCCGCUGUCUCAACCAUAAACUCGGCGAAAUUGCAGUACGAGUAAAGAUGCUCGUUACGCGCAGCAGGACGGAAAGACCCCGAGACCUUUACUAUAGUUUGGUAUUGGUGUUCGGAGUGGCUUGUGUAGGAUAGGUGGGAGACGUUGAAGCCCGGACGCCAGUUCGGGUGGAGUCAUCGUUGAAAUACCACUCUGGUCACUUUGGACAUCUAACUUCGGCCCGUAAUCCGGGUCAGGGACAGUGCCUGAUGGGUAGUUUAACUGGGGCGGUUGCCUCCUAAAAAGUAACGGAGGCGCCCAAAGGUUCCCUCAGCCUGGUUGGCAAUCAGGUGUCGAGUGUAAGUGCACAAGGGAGCUUGACUGUGAGAGAGACAUCUCGAGCAGGGACGAAAGUCGGGACUAGUGAUCCGGCGGUACAUUGUGGAAUGGCCGUCGCUCAACGGAUAAAAGGUACCUCGGGGAUAACAGGCUGAUCUUGCCCAAGAGUCCAUAUCGACGGCAUGGUUUGGCACCUCGAUGUCGGCUCGUCGCAUCCUGGGGCUGGAGUAGGUCCCAAGGGUUGGGCUGUUCGCCCAUUAAAGCGGUACGCGAGCUGGGUUUAGAACGUCGUGAGACAGUUCGGUCCCUAUCCGCUGCGCGCGCAGGAAAUUUGAGAAGGGCUGUCCUUAGUACGAGAGGACCGGGACGGACGAACCUCUGGUGUGUCAGUUGUACUGCCAAGUGCACCGCUGAUUAGCUACGUUCGGAUGGGAUAACCGCUGAAAGCAUCUAAGCGGGAAGCUCGCUUCGAGAUGAGAUUUCCAUACACCUUGUGUGUGAGAGGCCCCCAGCCAGACCACUGGGUUGAUAGGCCGGAUGUGGAAGCGAGGACUAACGACUCGUGAAGCUGACCGGUACUAAUAGGCCGAUAACUUACACCACACA